UACGUAGGGUGCGAGCGUUGUCCGGAAUUACUGGGCGUAAAGAGCUUGUAGGUGGUUUGUCGCGUUGUUCGUGAAAUCUCACGGCUCAACUGUGAGCGUGCGGGCGAUACGGGCAGACUGGAGUACUGCAGGGGAGACUGGAAUUCCUGGUGUAGCGGUGGAAUGCGCAGAUAUCAGGAGGAACACCGGUGGCGAAGGCGGGUCUCUGGGCAGUAACUGACGCUGAGGAGCGAAAGCGUGGGGAGCGAACAGG
rnacentral:rRNA from 1 species